GACGAACGCUGGCGGCGUGCUUAACACAUGCAAGUCGAACGGAAAGGCCCUGCUUUUGUGGGGUGCUCGAGUGGCGAACGGGUGAGUAACACGUGAGUAACCUGCCCUUGACUUUGGGAUAACUUCAGGAAACUGGGGCUAAUACCGGAUAGGAGCUCCUGCUGCAUGGUGGGGGUUGGAAAGUUUCGGCGGUUGGGGAUGGACUCGCGGCUUAUCAGCUUGUUGGUGGGGUAGUGGCUUACCAAGGCUUUGACGGGUAGCCGGCCUGAGAGGGUUACCGGCCACAUUGGGACUGAGAGACGGCGCAGACUCCUACGGGAGGCAGCAGUGGGGAAUAUUGCACAAUGGGCGGAAGCCUGAUGCAGCAACGCCGCGUGCGGGAUGACGGCCUUCGGGUUGUAAACCGCUUUCGCCUGUGACGAAGCGUGAGUGACGGUAAUGGGUAAAGAAGCACCGGCUAACUACGUG
rnacentral:rRNA from 1 species